rnacentral:rRNA from 1 species
GAUGAACGCUGGCGGCAUGCUUUACACAUGCAAGUCGAACGGUAACAGGGAGCUUGCUCCGCUGACGAGUGGCGAACGGGUGAGUAAUGCGUCGGAACGUGCCGAGUAGUGGGGGAUAACGCAUCGAAAGGUGUGCUAAUACCGCAUACGUACUGAGGUAGAAAGUGGGGGACCUUCGGGCCUCACGCUAUUCGAGCGGCCGACGUCUGAUUAGCUAGUAGGUGAGGUAAAGGCUCACCUAGGCGACGAUCAGUAGCGGGUCUGAGAGGAUGAUCCGCCACACUGGGACUGAGACACGGCCCAGACUCCUACGGGAGGCAGCAGUGGGGAAUUUUGGACAAUGGGCGAAAGCCUGAUCCAGCCAUGCCGCGUGUCUGAAGAAGGCCUUCGGGUUGUAAAGGACUUUUGUCGGGGAGGAAAUCCCCAGCGUUAAUACCGCUGGGGGAUGACAGUACCUGAAGAAUAAGCACCGGCUAACUACGUGCCAGCCGCCGCGGUAACAC